GAUGAACGCUGGCGGCGUGCUUAACACAUGCAAGUCGAACGAAGUGGAGAUCUUCGGAUUGAAACUUAGUGGCGGACGGGUGAGUAACGCGUGGGUAACCUGCCUCGUACAGGGGGAUAACAGUUAGAAAUGACUGCUAAUACCGCAUAACCCGCUAAGGUCGCAUGACCUGGACGGAAAAGAUUUAUCGGUACGAGAUGGACCCGCGUCUGAUUAGCUAGUUGGUGGGGUAACGGCCCACCAAGGCGACGAUCAGUAGCCGGUCUGAGAGGAUGAACGGCCACAUUGGGACUGAGAUACGGCCCAGACUCCUACGGGAGGCAGCAGUGGGGAAUAUUGGGCAAUGGGCGCAAGCCUGACCCAGCAACGCCGCGUGAAGGAAGAAGGCUUUCGGGUUGUAAACUUCUUUUGUCGAGGAAGAGUAGAAGACUGUACUCGGCGAAUAAGCCACGGCUAACUACGUG
rnacentral:rRNA from 1 species